rnacentral:rRNA from 1 species
UACGGAGGGUGCAAGCGUUAAUCGGAAUUACUGGGCGUAAAGCGCACGCAGGUGGCUGAGUCAGUCGAUUGUGAAAGCCCUGGGCUUAACCUGGGAAUUGCAGUCGAUACUACUCAGCUAGAGUAUGGGAGAGGGUAGUGGAAUUCCCGGUGUAGCGGUGAAAUGCGUAGAUAUCGGGAGGAACAUCAGUGGCGAAAGCGGCUUCCUGGACCAGCACCGACGUUCAGGCACGAAAGCUAGGGUAGCAAACGGG